GACGAACGCUGGCGGCGUGCCUAAUACAUGCAAGUUGAGCGCUGAAGGUUGGUACUUGUACCGACUGGAUGAGCAGCGAACGGGGGAGUAACGCGUGGGGAAUCUGCCUUUGAGCGGGGGACAACAUUUGGAAACGAAUGCUAAUACCGCAUAAAAACUUUAAACACAAGGUGUAAGUUUGAAAGAUGCAAUUGCAUCACUCAAAGAUGAUCCCGCGUUGUAUUAGCUAGUUGGUGAGGUAAAGGCUCACCAAGGCGAUGAUACAUAGCCGGCCUGGGAAGGUGAUCGGCCCACUCGGGAACGAGACAACGCCCCAAACUCUAAGGGAGGCAGCCGUAGGGGAAUUUUGGACAAGGAGGACAGUCUGAACGCGCAACGCCGCGUGAGAGAAGAAGGUUCUUGGAUCGUAAAAGUCCGUUGGUAGAGGAGAACGUGGGUGAGGUUGGAACGCUCACUCAGUGACGGUACCUACAGAGAAAGCGCCGGCUAACUACGUG
rnacentral:rRNA from 1 species